rnacentral:rRNA from 1 species
CCUACGGGUGGCAGCAGUGGGGACUAUUGCACAAUGGGGGGAACCCUGAUGCCGCGACGCCGCGUGAGUGAAGAAGUAUUUCGGUAUGUAAAGCUCUAUCAGCAGGGACGAGACAAGACGGUACCUGACUCAGAACCCACGGCUAACUACGUGCCAGCAGCCGCGGUAAUACGUAGGGGGCAAGCGUUCUCCGGAAUCAGUGGGUGUACAGGGAGCGUAAAUGGCUGAGCAAACCUGAAGUGAAAGUCGGGGGCCCAACCCCCGGAUUGCUUUGGACACUGGACGGCUGGAGUGCAGGAGAGGUAUGUGGAAUUCGUAGUGUAGGGGUGAAAUGCGUAGAUAUUAGGAGGAACACCAGUGGCGAAGGCGGCUGACUGGACUGUAACUGACGUUGAGGCUCGAAAGCGUGGGGAGCAAACAGGAUUAGAUACCCGAGUAGUC